rnacentral:rRNA from 1 species
GAGAUUUCCGAAUGGGGAAACCCAUCCCGAUUUAUUGGGAUACCAUGUGCCCAAAUUUAUUAAGUACAUGGAGGUAAGUCGGCGAACUGAAAUAUCUAAGUAGCCGGAGAAAAAAAAUCAAUAGAGAGUCCCUUAGUAGUGACGAGCGAACAGGGACUAGCCCAAACUUCCGCCUUUGGCGGGAGGGUUGUAGGACUCUAAUAUCUGAAUAAAAUAUAUAGGAGAAUAGUUUGGAAAAACUAGCCAUAGAGAGUGAUAGCCUCGUAUUUGAAAUAUAUUUUAUUUGGUAAGAGUAUCCUGAGUAGGUUCGGACACGUGAAAUCCGGAUUGAAUCUGGGAGGACCACCUUCCAAGGCUAAAUAUCAUUUGAGAUCGAUAGUGAACUAGUACCGUGAGGGAAAGGUUAAAAGAACCCCGGGAAGGGGAGUGAAAUAGACAUGAAAUUGUAUACUUAUAAGGAGUGGGAGUCCGGGCUUGCCUGGGUGACCGCGUGCCUUUUGUAGAAUGAGCCAACGAGUUAGUCGUAUAGGGUGGGUUAAGGCAGUUUAAGCCGGAGCCACAGCGAAAGCGAGUCCGAAUAGGGCGGCAAUCUUAUGCGCUAGACCCGAAACUGUGUGAGCUAACCAUGGGCAGGUUGAAUGCCGAUUAAUCUCGGCAGGAGGACCGAACCACCGAGUGCAGCAAAACUCUUGGAUGACCUGUGGUUAGAGUUGAAAUUACCAUCGAACACAGAGAUAGCUGGUUCUCUCCGAAAUCU